CAGUGAGGACUGGUUGAAUGGCUAUCCCAGUUAAUGAAAGCUAAUUAUCUUUAAUGAAAAGAAAUACAAAUGCAAAUCAAGGUGAAAAUUGUUGUCUUAAAUCAAGGUUUUCUACUGGAUGGUUUAAAUCCUGUUUGGAAUCUGUGACUGGAAGGUGCCAAAUUAACAGACUCUGGACACUGUGGGUUUGGAGAGUGCUUGGCUGGAGGACACAUGGAUGGAGCUCAGUGUGUGCCUGCCUCAUAACAUGAGAAGGAUCCCCAGCUGUUGAUGGACCAUUCUUGGUGCCCUUGUGAAACCUGGUGCUGUGCCCAUGCCAGGCAAACCUCCCCAUCUUCUGUCUUUGAAGGAAGCAAAGAGGAUCUUGGACCCUCCCCUCCUGUGGUGCCUGCAAAGCCAGAUGGGAGGUGGAUGUGGCCACCCACCUUUGGCUCUUCACAGCUGAUGGACAUGUGGAACAGCCCUGCAAGCCUGGCAAGGCAGGAGAGGACCUCUGGCCACACAUCUCCAGCACCAUGGCUGCAACCAGGUACUGGCUUGAGUAGAGUUUAGUGCAAGUUUUGCCCAGGAGGGGACAUGGGUGGGUCCUUGGGGCUUUUGUAGCUUGUAUCAAUGUUCCUUCAAUUGUGGAGGGGAGGAAGAUGAGAGGAAAUGCUUCCCAUUAUGAGGACAGGGUUGAAGAGCCCCUUCCUUGGCUGGGGCAGAGCGAGGGGCCAAAUUCCCCCCUGCCAGCCCCUGAGCCCAGUUCAUCUCUGGGCUGGAGUGGCAUGAAGAGAUCAAUCCAGUUAGUCUGGCUUUAAGCAGCCUGGGGUGGAUUCAGGCUGAAGCAGAAACACAUCCCGAUGAGCUGCUUACUUUUUUCAAACAGAUGAUGUUUGUGUCUGAUAAAUUUCUGCAGGCAAAAUUCCUUGGUCUAGGACCUUGACUCCUAAUUAAAUAUUUGCCAAGAUGGCACCUUGCCCUGCCUGAAGAAAUAUCCUCCUUUCACCUCCAUGUGGCUCUCUCCUCUUCUGUAAUCCUGCAGAUUCAGGAGAGCCAGUUGAAGACUCAGCUCCAAUAAAGCAAAGAAAAGCAA